GGUCUUGUAGUGUAGUGGUUAUCACUCUGGUUUUUGAACUAAUUCGAGUAGAAAAUUACCAGAAACCCCGGUCCGAAUCCGGGCAAGACCU
rnacentral:tRNA from 1 species